UUUGUGGGCCUCUUUGUAGCUCAAAUCCUCUAACAACGGUUGAGUGGUAUCUGGUGUUCACUUCUUUGUGCAUUGUUCUCUCUCAGCUUCCAAACCUCAACUCAAUUGCAGGGCUGUCACUGAUAGGAGCUAUAACAGCCGUCACUUACUCCACCAUGGUGUGGGUGCUCUCUGUUAGCCAACCAAGGCCGCCUAACAUCUCUUACGAACCACUUUCAUCCGCAUCCCCUGCAGCCACUGUCUUCUCUGUCAUGAAUGCACUUGGGAUUAUUGCUUUUGCGUUUAGAGGGCACAAUUUAGCUAUGGAAAUUCAGGUAUAUCUGCACUUUGUGAUUUUUGAACCACUUAGCAAAACAUGUUACAUUCGAAGGUAGUUAAUUUUGUUUUCUAAGGAACUUAUUUGCCUUUUUUCAGGCUACAAUGCCAUCAACCUUUAAGCAUCCUGCUCACGUGCCCAUGUGGAGAGGAGCCAAAGUUGCCUAUUUAUUCAUUGCCAUGUGCUUGUUCCCAGUUGCCAUUGGAGGUUUUUGGGCUUAUGGAAAUCUUGUAAGUACACUUAAUGCCAAGGCACAUAACAAGUUCACAAUAGGAAAGAAGAAAGAAUUACUUGACGUUCUUGCAUAUGUUGAGAAAUGUAGAAAGUCUCAAUUGCAAAGAAGCCCCCGAGUUAUCAAAUAGAAGAGCAAUACAUUUUAUCUUGCUAGUUGCUACUUUCAAAUAAAAAUUUUUAUGGUUAGGUUGGUAGAAUUUAUCCGAAAAUAUAUCAUAUCUCUCUCUCGAGAUAUUUCUUUUAAAUUAUGUACUACUCCAAAAUUAUUGUGAAUUGACACCUAUAAUGAGAUGCUACUUUUCUAAUAUGAAAAUGCUGUAAUAUAAUAAUGGAUUUUAUGUAGAUAUCGUGAAUGAUGUAGUUGAUCGCCCUUGUCUGUUUAUGAUUCAGUUCAUUCUUAAUCUUUUUUUUGUUUUCUUGUUUUAGAUGCCUUCGGGAGGGAUGCUCCGUGCAUUGUUUCAAUUUCACAGCCACGAUAUAUCAAGAGGACUUCUUGCAGUGACUUUUCUCCUUGUUGUAUUCAACUGUUUAAGUAGCUUUCAAAUAUACUCAAUGCCUGUUUUCGACAGCUUUGAAGCAAGCUACACCAGCCGCACCAACCGACCGUGCUCAAUCUGGGUUCGAUCUGGUUUCCGGGUUUUCUAUGGAUUUGUCUCAUUCUUCAUAGGCGUGGCACUCCCUUUCCUCUCCAGCCUUGCCGGUCUCUUGGGAGGACUCACUCUUCCGGUCACUUUUGCUUACCCAUGCUUCAUGUGGGUGCUAAUAAAAAAGCCUACGAAAUACAGCUUCAACUGGUAUUUCAAUUGGAUCCUGGGUUGGUUGGGAGUCGCCUUUAGCUUGGCCUUCUCCAUUGGCGGUCUUUGGAGUAUAGUGAACAGUGGACUUAAGUUGAAAUUCUUCAAGCCCAGUUGACAAACAGUCAGUAGUACUAGCUAAAGGGAAUGUCGAAACUCUGUAAAAUCAAUGGAGAUUCAUUUCGUAUUUGUUGUUGUUUCGUACAAUUUUAAACUUCCAUGUAUGCACAUGUUACUUAUGGUGCAGGCAGCACCCGUUUCAUGUAAGUUUUAUUGUUCGAUUUUCUUCUCCUAAUCACUUUGAUUUAAAGUAGUGAAAAGAAAUACGGAACGUAUGGUCUGAAGAUUCUGAAGAUAUUGAGAGUGCACUUUAUAAAGAAUAGGCCCAAAUCCAGCUAACAACAUCUUUUUUUUUUUUUUAAGUAAAUCUUAGUCUACGUUAAUUGAUUAGCUUUGCCAUUAGCGGUUUGCAGUUGCUUUCAGAUGAUUGCUGCUUUCCACCAUGGAACUGCACUGCGCGCAGGUUUUAGCUCUGUCAUCAUUCGAAAAGAUAAGCUCAAUGAAGCAAGCCAUCAAAAGUUAGGUAGCGAAAUUUGUUAGGCAUGCGGAUUUUGUAAGGCUUCAUUGUCACUUGCCACUGUCACAUUCUACAGAGCAGGCAAACAUAAUCAAAAUGGAAACAUGAAUCAUGAAUGCCGUUGCUGCAUUGAUUACAUUUGAAAAACAAAUUCUGUGUUCGGAGAAAAUGGGAUAGUUCGGGUGGUCAUCAUCUAAAGGGUUCUAUUGCAAUGAUUCAAGGUUUAAUUGACUCUCAGCAUCAAUAUAGCUUAGAAACAACCACCGACCAAAUGAUAAUGUUCCUCAUUUGUCCAUGGGGUUAAAACAUCACGGACCAUCAAUAAUUACUCAUUUCAUUGCCACUCCAGUGGCACCGAAACAGGUGUUUCCGUUUGAGGACGACAUCUCAUGCCGGCACAUGGACAUGGUUUCAAUUUAAUUGGAUUAGAAGGUGAAAUCCUGUUAAUGUAGAGCAACAUAUUGUGCGACCCACGAUACAAUAAAAUCUUUUUCGCCCAGUGAAUGUGACAGCAGUCUUGAUUAUUCCAACUAUACCACGCCUCUUAGUAAACAAAUGAAAGAAACAAAAUUUAUCUGUCGGAUCGGAGAAAGAACAAAGAAGAAGCCAUUAACAACUAUUUUUUUAUUGAGCAUCGUUCACUACUAAACGAAUAAAAAAAACGUUUUGACUGCGUCUGUGGCUGUCAAUUUUUUUUAAUAAUUAUUUUUCUUUUUUUCUGGACAUCCAUUUUGUUACUUUUUAUAUGAAUACGUUUUUCAUAUCUACUCCAGUAUGGCAGUAUCACACAACUAUCAGACCCAUGAACCAACUUGGACGGUAAAUCACUGUUCUAAUUAGGUAAUGGCCAAACAUGAAGGUGAGCCCGGCAGCCUUCCAAUAUUAUUUCUUAUUCAUUCAACCUACAAGAUCGGAUUGGGUUGGAUUAACCCUUGGGAUUAGAUUAGGGAAAAAGUUCUUCUCAACUCUAAAAUUUCAUUCAAUAAUCCAUUUUAUCCUUACUUUUUAAAUAAUAACCCAAAACAUCCUUCCGUUAACUCACCGUUAAUUGAAUAUUGUUUGUUAGUAAUUCAUUAAGAGUAAAAAAAGAUUUUUCAUUAAAGAGAAAAUAAAAGUUGACAUAUAACUAAAAAUAAUUUUAUCUGAUCCAACUAAAUAGGAAAUACCGAAAAAGAUGAAAAACUUAUAUUUCAAGAAAUUCAUUUUUCAUUUCUUUCUAUUUUGGCGGCAUGAAAGUCCUAAAAACCCUAAAUAUUAGUACUAAAAAUAUCAUAAUUUUUUUAUUCAUAUAAGUAUACUCUCUAAUUGCACUGUAAAAUGGGUUGGUUGAGUUGAAGAUAAAGAGAUAUUCAGCACAUACAAGCACAUAAAAUUUAGUGGUAUUUUUGAGUUUUUAAUUACAGUUUGUUCAUUCUGACAAUUAUUCAAUAUGUAUAUCAAAUUAUAUCAUCGUUGAUUUCAUUUACAAAAAAGUUAAUGAAUUUUGCAUAUUUUGUAGUGUUAUUUAAUUGUGUAAUUUUUUUUAAUAUAGUUAGUAUUACUUUAAUGAAAAAUCUUAUUUUGCCCUCAAUAAAUUACUAGUUAACGGUUUUGCACUAAUGGUGAGUUAACAGAAGGAUAUUUUAGGCUAUUAUUUAAAAAGUAUGGAUGAAAUAAGCUAUUGCAUGAAAUUCUAUGGAUGAAAAAUGCUUUUUCCCAUUAGAUUAAAUUAUAUUAUAUUAGAUUAUCUAGUAUUGUCUUUUGUUUGGUAUAAUAUUGAAUAAGACUAUGUUAAGUUUAAUUUAAUAAAAUUAAAAAAAUUAUUUAAAUAAUAUAUUAUUUUUUAAAUCAUAUUACUAUUUGUUAAAUUUAAUGUUUAGAUUACAAUAUUAUUGUAAUUAAGUAAUCCAAUAAAUUUUUAUGUUUAAUAUAUUAUAUACUAGUUAAAAUAAAUUAUUGAAUAAACUUUUGAUAUUAAUAGCAAAUUUAGACUAUAGAAUAUCUAAUCCUAUCUAAACCCAUGUGAAAAUAGAUAUUAAUAAUCUUAUAAAUGUUGGACUAAAACUUAGAUUAAUUUAUUAAUCAUGACAGCCAAAUAUAACUCUAAAUUGGACUAAUUUUUUUAUCCUUCAAAUUAGUGUAAUCCCACCUUUUAUACAACAUCCGAAAAUAGCCUCAUUAGUCAUAGGUCACACAGAUUAUAUGUUGGGUCAUGGGUGUGCAAGAUUUUACGUCUAAAUUAAAGAAUAUAUUUAUAUUCAGAAAAAAUCAUCCCACUUUCUCCAAAAAAGAGAAAAAAUCAUACCACCAGAAAAUAAUAAUAAUAAAAAAAAAAUUGACCAUCAGAGCUUAAGAACAUUGAGGUCGGUGAGCUAGGAGGCGCACAAUUCAGCAAUUCCAUGCGCUUACUCAUCAAAGUCAAAGCGCAACUAAGAAAGUAAUGUUCAUUAAUUAAUUUUAUUUUGCAGAAAGCAGGUUUAGAUAUUUGGCUCCAUCUGCCUGCCCUUACUGAAGACAGCAUAGCCAGCCAAAAAAUCCAAGUUAACAAGUUGGUUGCACUUGCACACUUGGUGAUCAUCGAGUCUCUGCUCCCGCUGACAUUCUUAGAAAACUGGAAUUUCGAAUUCAUACGCAUUCACCAGACCAGAUUCUUCUACCGAAUUAAAAAUUACCUAAUCUAAAAAACUUUUUCUUUUUUCUUUUGUCCUGAAGAUAACAAUAAAAUGGAGAACUGUUCAGGUUAGCCCCUAAUGCAUGCCAUCUAAACAGCAAUCCACUUGAAAAAUCAAAAGAUCGAUGCAGAAAAACUCUCCUUUUAGUCUAAUUUGUUCUUCCACUGAUGCGAAGGAUUUACAAAACCAAACAUGCACGAACAAACAAACAAACCCUAAAACAGAGACACAACAACUGUGACUAUUGCAAUCCAAGUACUGAAUUUCUUUCUUCUAAUGUUUGUUAUAUGAUGAUCCUAUAAAUUCUCUGUACCUACCAAGCACUGGAUCCUACGACCACAAUCAUGAUAACACCACCAAUAACCGCUGGACCAAAAUCCAAAGAAAUUAAAAAGACAAAAAGGCUUCUCCUUUCCUCCCAUUGAAAUUUGAUAAAGCAAGCAAACACCCCUUUUUUUUUAAUUUUUAACUUGGAACUUUUCUUACUUCAAGUCCUUCCCAGCUGGCGUGGAAAUGGCAAGACCAGACCAACCAAAGCAAUCUUCACCAACGUCAUUACCACCUUGAUCAUCGCCGUUCAUCAUCUGCCACGUGUUGCAUCCAGAAGCAGCAGCACCACUCCCACCGCCAGUGCAAGCGUAACCGGCUCCAGGGACAUCCCAACUCCGUGCAGUACCAAAACCAAGCUCCAAUUCUUCAAGACCCGACCCGAUACCAUACCCAUGAUUGUGAAACCCACCAAGUCCAAGAAAAUUCUGGCCUUGAAUUUGCAUAUUCAACAUAGUAGUGUAGCUUCCACUACCGGGGACGCCGACACUAUCGUUCAGGUUCACAUCAGUCAUCGUAAUUAAGCCCAUUUCAGGGUUACCACAAGGCAAAACCGAAACAGGGUUAGCGGGUUCGGCCACACGAUCAUGGAUAACAGCUGAGGAACAAGAUGAAGAAUUGGUGGUGGCAACAACAGCGCCAGAAGAAGACGAAGAGCUAAUGCGGGUGCGCUUGGAGUUCUUGCGAGUGCCACCACCAACGGGGAUGUUGCGGAGAGUCCCACCUUGAGUCCAGUAGCGGCGGCACGACUUGCAGAAGUGACGAGGCUGAGAGAGGUUGUAGUUGUUGUAGUAGCAGAAUUUGGUGCUCGUUGAUUCGCACCUUGGGCACGGCAGUGACUCGGUUACCUUUGGGGGUGGGUAUGUGCUUAUGGGGUUAUGGGCUCGAGCUAGUUUCCGGUCAGUUGAUUCCGAUGGCAUUUUGCGGGGUGUUUGUGAACAAACGAACGUAUAAAUAAUUAAUGUUUAAUUUUGGAAGAAAGUGGUGUGAAUGAGAGUGAAAAGCUUUUUCAGUCUCAAUAGCUUAGCAGAGCUAUAGCUAUAGCGUAUGAGUGAAGACAUACAUAAGUAACUCACUAUAUAAGAGAUAAAAUGGGGCCACGCCAACAACAACUCACAACAAUCCUCGCGGUGAAGAAGGGUUUCUGUACGACGUUUUGUAUUGGCUCGGCUGCGUGGCUAGGCGGCUUGUUUUUUUUUUUCCAAAAAACUUAUAAUUAAUUGUUUUGGUGAUGUGGCCCCGUUUUGUUUAACAGGCAAUUAACUGUAUCAUAUAAUAAAUAAAGAAAAAUUAUCAUUUGUAUACCCUUAAUUUAUUUUAUUAUAAAAAAUAUUAUAAUAUUUUAAGAGUGUAUCAAUCGUCUACUUUAAAUUGACAAAAUAUAUUAACUUACCACCAAAUUGUUAGUUGCCGUUUAAGUACGAUGACAUCAAAAGGAUAAUUUGAUCUUUUCAUAUGAUGUAAGUGAUAAUUUAAAGAUAUACAAGUGAUAAAAAGAGAAUUUAAGGGUAUAUAAGUGAUAAUUUUUAAGGGUAAAAUUAUUAAUUUACUGUAAUUCAAUUAACUUUCAAACGACAACUAAUGGUUAUGUGGUCGGCUGAUACAUUUUGUUAACUAAUGGUGAACGAUUGAUACACCCUUAAAAUAUUAUAAUAUUUUUAAUAACAAAACAAAUAUAGAGUAUAUGAAUGAUAAUUUCUCAUAAAUAAAUAAUAUUAUGGUAUGUGAGUAUUUAUUAAAAAUUAUAAUAAAAAUAAGAGAUAUAUCAAAUGUAUUUAUACACUCCGUACUAAUAUUUUAAAAUUUCUCUUGUGUAAAUGUACAAAUCUAACCGGUUGCAGAAGCCAAUUGCUAGUUGCUUCAACAAAGAGUCCUUAAGCAGAGUCUUUAAUAUGCAUACAUACGAAUCAGUAUGUAUGUAAUUUGACUGACAACUAAGAUGAAAGUUAAAGGCUAUAUUAGCUGGGGAUGGAGGAGAUUAAGUCGAGGGCUGGUCAUCAGAUUCAGCCUUUUCUUCUAGAGCUGGCUCAACUCAACCGUCGGAGGUGGGGGAGAGAGAGAGAGAGAGAGUGCGUGAAAUGAAAUUAGGAUUGAAGAGAACCGACAGCAUGAUUGUUGUCGGGCAGCGUGGGAAACAAUAAUUGGGUUUGCCUGCUGCGUUACGAGGCUCAAUGGCUUCCCUACUCCUCUACUCCUUGGCCCUUGCAUAUCAAAGAUUCUCUCAUCAUCUGUCACCGGAUUUUUCGGUUCUGUAAUCUCUGCUCCUCCCUUUGAUUUUGCUCCUCUCUUUUGUCCCCUCUACAUAUGUACGACGUGUAUAUCCAUCCCCUUGUUGUGUUAUUAUUAUAUUUGCCACGAAGAAAACGUUCUCCAAUAGUAUUCAUACAUUAUUUAUAUUGGCAACUAAGAAAACGUUCUCAAAUAGUAUUCAUCCGAUUUGAUUUACACAUAAAAAUAACUGUAGCCUUGCACAACGGAACUUCGUACUGAGAAGGAGGGAAUCGAGCAGCUGGCUUCGCCAUACACUUGUUUUACUCCAAGAAACUGAACAGACGUAGGCGCAGACUCUGGCGCUGUGCUAGCUACGGCGAGAACUUGGACUACUGCUGACAGACAAGACUCGUUUCUGGAAAAUGUGACAACGCGGAACACACGUGUCCAUCACUAAUAGGUUAUUGCCUUAACCAUCCAAGCAGCGGCUCCAGUCCAGCCCACGGUAAGAAUCAGCCCAAGUCAAGAGAGAGAUACACUCACAGCCUCACAGGGUCCGAGAUUCUGAUUCUCUCUUCCCUGUCUGCAUCUGUUUCAGGUUUUGACGGUCUUCGUGAGGCUGACUAUAAUCAGAGGGAAAAACCCCCAACCACACACCCCCCCCCCCCCCCCCCCCCCCCCCCCCAAGCUCUUUAGCUUCGUCCCUUCUACUAUCGUUUAUUUGUGGCACAUUGGCAAAUAUGCCUUUAAUUAAUUAAUUAAUUAAUUAAUUAAUUAUUGGGAAAGACGACAGAGCAUUUUGUUUUUGGUAGUAGAAAGUGACAAAGACAGUACAAUGUUGUUCAAUUGCAAUUACUCUCCAAAUUCUAAUUUUUUUUACAUUUAAAAAAAAAGAAAAAAAAAAAAGCAAGAGACAAAUAGAGGUCAACAAUUUGUGUUCCCUAGUUAUAUAAGUUUCUUCUUGCAUUUAUAGGAGUAUUUAUUCUACAAAUGGGUUAACUUUGAAAACAAGCAUUUUCACUUUUGAUUCCCAGAUUUGAAACGUAUCUUUCUUCAGGGUUCAAUCAGAAUAAAUCACAUCAAUCACAAUCACAUUGAUGCGUUAAGAAAAUAGUCCUCUAUGGCGGUGGACGGUUUGACUAAUUGACCAUGAUUCGUGGGGCUUACUUACGCAGGCCACAUCUUUAACAGUGUCGGUUUUUCUUUCACUAUUUCCGUAUUUUUAUGGGGUUACGAAUUUAUGACUGAGCUCAAUAAUUUUCCCGUGCAUUGAAUAAUUACACUUUCAGUAAAAUCUUAGCUUAGUACUGCAUUGAAAUAUAUAUAUAUAUAUAUUUUACAGCAACACACCUAACAACCGUAAAUAAUGUGAAUGAGGUUACUUUUAAGUUGAUCUACAUUGAAAAUAUUAUAGAUAUAAUAAAAGAAUAUAAGUAUUAGCACCUUCUAUAAUUCUAAUAAAACCUCUCGCUUUAGAAUUUAUAAUUUUAACCUUGUUAUAUUUCUAAUAUAAUAUAUUUUAAUUAAACUCUCAUAUUAUAAUCAUUAUUUUUAUCAAUUAACAUAUAAUUUUGAAAAAUACCCUUUACUUAGGGCUUGUUUAUUAAAUGUAUGAAGUAUGAUUUUUUUUAAUAUUAGAUUUCUUUUUUAAAUAUACCUGUUUAUUGUUUUGUAAUUUAUAUUUGAUUUUUUAAAAAUUUACAUCUUAAUUAAAAAAACUUUUAUAACUUUUAUCUGAAUAAAAAAAGAUCUAAAGCAAAUAUUAUGUUAAAAAUAUCUCCAUUAAAUAUUUUUAUUUCCUAAAAUAUAAAAUUUAAUCUCCUUUUUUAUUUUGAUUUACAACAAGAUAAAUGUCAAAUAAUCAUAUUUAAGAUUUUUUAUUUAUAAAAAUAAAUGAAAUGCUACUAAUAUUUGGAUAUUAAAAAACAAAAAAAUAAACAUGUUAUUACAUUUGUAUUCAAAAUGAUUUAGACGUCAGCUAAAAAUUCAUACUUAUUUAGAUUUGAGACCCAAACAAAAAAAAGGGCCAACUUAGUUAGAAAUCUUUAUUUUUGUAUGGUUAGUCAUUAUUUUUAUUUCUUUAUUUCAAACUUUAAUAAAUAUACCACGAUGUUUUUUGUUUUUUUUCGGGUCGAAGUAAAACUACAUGGUUUUUCUUUUGGAAUCAAAUGAGUGUUAUUAAAAUUAGCAUAAUCUAUGUAUAUAUUUAAUGAGAUACUUUUAGAAGAAGAGUUAUAAAAGAAUUUUAAAAGAGUGCCAAUAGUUAAAAACACUUGGCAAAAUAUGGGUGGCUUGGAGUUUGGGGUAAAAUUAAACUCAUUGGGCCUUUUCACUUCGGGUUGUAUUUCGUGAAUAGAAGCGGAACGCGAGGUUCCAACGAAAUUGAACCUCUAAAAUGGCAUAUUGCUGCUGAUAAUCACCAAACAAAACGAACAAUCAAAACUCAUUAUUUUAAACCAAAAAAUGAUUAAAAAAAACUGGCAAGACGCUUAAUAUAAAUUGUCGGUUAACAAUUAAUGCAAUAGAUUAGAUUCUCAGCAAUGCCACUCAUAGAGUAACAAAAGGAUCAAUAGUACGAGAGAGUUUGCGAAACAGAAGAAACGCAGCAAUAAAAGGAGGAUUGUGGUAGCACACGCAUGUCCAAGACUAGUAUGGAUUAAAUUUCUAUGCCUGCUGGAUUUUAAACUUGUCAUGCACUUUCUAAGUAUUGCUUCAGCUAAUUAUAAAAACUAUCUAACUUUUACGCAUUUUUCAAACCCGUGCCCAAACCCACUUUAAGGGUCGAGUCUAUUGUGGGUUUGGGCCGCUUUAUUUAUUUUUUAAAAUUAUUAUAAAUUUAAAAUAAAUAAAUUAUCAACAAAUUAUUAUAAUCAUAGAUAAAUUAAAGAAAAUAAAUAUUUUAAAGUAAAAUAAUAAAUAAAACAAAUAAAAGUUCAUAACUUUAAUUUUCUUUAGUACUGAAUUUUAUAAUUCAAACGUUCUUUUAAUUAAUUAACGCAAAAGAGAGAGUUCAUUAUCAUAAUUUUAAUUUUUUUAAUCAUUAUUGAUUUAUAAGUCAAGAAUUUAAGUUUUUUUUAAAAUAUUUUUUAAUUUUAAUUAUAUUAUUUUAAUUUAUAAAUUUAUUUUUUUAAAAUUAGUGGGCCUAACCUGGGCUGAGCUUUUCUUGAGCCAUUGUCCAAGCCCUCAUGUGUGAGGACCGGGUCAAAACACGCGGGCCUAGGCCGAUCCAAACUUUUUUACCCACCCUACAAAAAAUGCCACAUCUUUUAAACAUUUCGGGAACAUAAAUGGAUGGCAAAAUCUGAAAAUAUAAUCCGAAUAUAAAAAGGACAUGGGUCCCUAAUAGUGAAUAAGAUUAUUUUUUGAUUUGAAAAUUUUUAAAAAUUUUUUAUCAUAUAUAUUUUAGUGGUAAUAUAUCGUAAAAUUUAAUUUUUAUUUAUUUAUUUAUUUAUUUUUAAUUAAUUAAUAAUUAAGUUAUUUAUUUAGGACAUGAUAAGGGAUCACGAGAGAAUCUGAUCCCCUAUGCCUAUUCCACGUGUCACAGGCUUGAUCUAGUUGCUGACCUGCUGGCGAGCGCUUACGGCACGAACCAAUAAUCGGCCUGAAAAACACGCUCCCAGAGCCACGACAACGAGAUCAGAGCACCAAACCACGUCUAUGGUGCGUAUCUAACAUGCGCACACAAACUCCAACCAGCAGUGCAGAGCAGACAGCCGAACACUGUAGGCUGCAGGCAAGAAGAUAGAACAGCUAUCGCUUUGAUCUUCAACGUUCCAUUCUGCUUCUCUCUGAUUCAAAAAAGUUCUUCUGGAAGUUUUUUGGGUCUGUCAAAGAAUCACAGCCCAAAUCCUUUUGAGUGAUAGUGAAAGCUAAUGGUUUUCGACUUAUUCUAACGAUACGAUGGAUAAUCAACCAGGGAUGCUGUAUUUUCGACGGCCUUGCUUCUUUAAUAUUUUCUCUUCUAAUUUAAGUGCAGAGUGUCUGGUAAUCUUUUUUUUUUUUUUUUUUCCAUUCUGUCUCGCAAUAUUUAUUUUCUCUGAUCACUUGUUUCCUAAUUUUAGCAACAAAUUAGGGUUUAGUGCUUAAUGACUAGUAUCUAGAGGCUAAGCAGAAGAAAAGAAUUGCUAUUAUAAGACAGAACAGUCCUUAUAGACUUUCACUACAUUGUUUAUUCACUAACUUUGGAAGUUCAGAUGAAAGAUUUUCUUAGCUUCAAACAGAAGUUUUUUAUAACUUAAAUCAAAUUUUGAUGAAAUGCUGAUGGGUUGUGUGGUUGGAUGUUGACCCAGUUGAAAUCUAUAUGUAACAGAAAUUACCACUACAAUUCGUGAGACAUAUGGAGGGCAGAACAUCUGGAUCAGUCACAUUAAUAGGUCCUAGUUGGGAUACAUGGCACAUUGACUUGAUUCAACAGGAUGAUAAUUUGUUGUUUGAUAAAGGAUGGCCAGUAUUUCUGAGAGACAAUUUUAUAGAAUGUGGUGACCUUUUGGUUUUCAGAUAUGAUGGUGAGUUGCAUUUCACCGUGCAAAUAUUUGAUCAGAGUGGAUGUGAGAAGGAAGCUGCAUUUAAUUCGAAGUCCACCAGUACGGGACAAAAGAGAGAAAGAGAGGAGGCGGUUGCCCAUUCAGACAAAGCUCUUCAAAGUUUGUUGAAGAAAAUUAGAGAAUGCUCCUCUUCUUUUGAAUCGGAUUGUAUAGAUGAUAACCGGGACCGGGAAGCAGAUUCCUGUGAGGAAACAAGGAGGUGUCUCAGUCUAUCUACGAUCUUCGCAUCGCCUUCUCAACCGAAAACUUGCAACAUAAAGCCAGGUAACAAAUCCAACCUUGCGUUGAUUUUGAAGACAAUCUGUCUCUUGGUUGAACAAUUUCCUACAUAUUGAGCAUUUCUGUUGCUUUUUACCCUUUUCUGAGUCCGCCGGUCGUUUGAAGAAACUGGAAAUAGAAUUAUAGAAAUUGGACUCAUGGACUGUGCUCGUUUCUGCAUAAUAUUCUAGUAUAUAAGCACGUCCACAAUGAAGUACUAAUUGUAAUCCAAAUUUUCUUCUUGUAAACAGGAGUUUUUAACAUCAAUAUCUUUAUUAAUCAAAAUUUCAGAAUUGUGAGAGAUUUCUUGUUUUUACAGUCUUGAAUAGAUUUUCUUUUACUGUUAGAAAGUGACGGCAAAUAAGAUGAAUUGUAUUUACAUGAUAAAAGUUGUCUUUCAUUGUUCUCAGAAGAUGAAGAGAAAAAAGUUGCUCAAUCAUUCAUAUCAGCUUUUCCCUAUUUCGUCCGAAAAAUGAAGAGGUUCAAUGUUAGUGGUUCAUAUACACUGGUAAGUAGUUUCAUUUGCUAUUAUGGAUAUUUGACAGGAGCAUGGUCCAUGCAACCGCAACAACACCCCCCCCCCCCCCCCCCCCCCGCAAAUACAUAUUCCACUGGAAUUUAGAAGAAUGUUGUGGAAAAUAUUGGUGAACAGAUGACAUUACUCGCCAACCACCUCCUAAUCUCAGCCCUUUUAUUCAAUCUUUCGACUUCAAUCUGCUGCUCAACAAAUUCCCCAGCCACCAAAGAUUUAGAUUCACAUCAACUAGCGCCUCUGUAUUUAUUUAUUAAAUCUGGCAUUGCUGCUCCCAAGUGAUGGUGGCUUGACAGCCUUCACGCAGAGGUUCCUUUGAUUGUUGCUGGCCCAUUCACUUAGGGCUAAUAGCAUUUUACUUCUACUGGCAUGUAUUCAAUUACAUAGAAAAUUUAUUGUUUUAGUUUUCUGGAUUCUGUUAAUAAGAUCAGUUGUUUUUUUCCCCCUUUUUGGCGCAGAAUAUACCAUAUCAAUUUUCAAUGGCACAUCUUCCAAAUUGUAAAACAGAGGUUGUCCUUCACAACCUGAAAGGAGCAAGCUGGACUGUGAAUUCUGUGCCUACAACAAAAGUCCACACAAGUCAUACUUUUUGUGGAGGAUGGUUGGCCUUUGUUCGUAGUAAUGAGAUCAAAUUAGGAGACAUCUGCAUUUUCGAACUUGUGCACAAAUGUGAAUUGCAUGUGUAUAUUCUUAGAGUUGGAAAGCAGUACCCAGAUAGUCAGAGGGGAACAACAGUCUUAACUGGGUCAAAUGUAAGCUCCACCACCAUAUCAUGCAAACAGUUUGAUGGUGUGCCAAAGAAAGUGAAGAAGAACUCUCUGAAAAAAAUACAGUUAUGCAACGUGAAAGGUUCUAAGUCAUGUGAAAUAAAGAAGCAUAUUGGUACAGAUAGGAAUUCUGUUAGUAUUGCAACGUGCUGUCUGCCAAAAAUUAGCCAUGAAAAAUCAGGUAAAGCUGUCGAUUGAUCAUAUGUUGGGAUUUUCUAGUUGUGAUCUGUUAUGCAAGGGGCAAUGCUGUACUUCAUGUGUCUUCAAUUAGAUUCUUUUAAGUGAAUUUAUAGGUAAGAUGAGCGCUUUGUAUUUAUUUUUACCAUUCUUUUUGAGUGUACCUCUUUUCUUUUUUUUCUUUUCUUUUUUUAUUUUUCUUCAUGCUUAAUAGCAAUUCAUAAUAUUCUGACCUACAAUUUUUAGAGAGAUUUGUGUGGGUUAAUCUAUACACUCAUGAAAGUACCUGGUAACUCAACUUGGCUUGUGUGCACUACAGAGGCUGCUGCUCAAAAUAGAAAUAAUGUUGAAGCUAAAAUGGGUUCACCACCUGGAGGCAAUUUAAGAACGAUGAUGGCACUUGAUGAAGAGAAAGCUGCUCGUUCUUUUAAUUCAUGUGUUCCUCAUUUUGUGAGAAUCAUGAGGAAGUUCAACAUCAGUGGCUCAUAUACUUUGGUUAGUACUCUCCUUUGUGUUUGCUGCUUUUGAUAUUUUGCUGACUUUUAUAUUUCUUAUAUAUAUGGUGGUUGAUGGAACUGUAUCAUGGAUAACUUUUUUUAAAUUUAUAAUUAUUCGUAACAUUUGAGUAAAUUCAAAGAUCCAGAAGACACAAGUGAAGUAAUAAUCGAUGUUUUACUUAGCCGACUGCUGUUAUUACUCGCCAAAAUGUUAAAACCUCAAGAAUUUCACUCCAUAUUUACGGGAGUAUAAAAAAUCAUUCAUUCUCUUUUACUGACUCGUUAUUGUCACACAGAAAAUCCCCUAUAAGUUUGCCAUGGCACAUCUUCCUGACUGCAAAACAGAGAUUGUCCUUCGAAAUUUAAAAGGGGAAUGCUGGACCGUUAAUUCACUCCCAGACUCCAAAGGGCGGAUGGUGCAUACGUUUUGUGGAGGGUGGAUGGCCUUUGUUCGUGGUAAUGACAUCAAAAUUGGGGAUGUCUGCAUAUUUGAACUUAUCAGCAAGCUUGAAAUGCGUGUGCAUAUAACUGGUGUUGGAAGGAAAGAAGUGGACCUUGAAAGUGGAAAAUUAACAUCUAACGAAUCAUCUACAGUUGACCAUCCCCCUUUCUGAGGCACCGGAAGGGAUCAAACAUCAAAGAACGUGUUAGGUUGUGGGUAUUGAUACGUCCUUUUCUUAUUCUUUAAAAAUUAAUUUCAUGGACAAUUAUGUUUUUCAGACAAUUUGGUGGCUGUUUUGUGCAGGAUGAUCUUGCUUUUGUAAAUCAGUAGAAGCCAAGGCUAACUAGGUGAGAGUCGUGCGUUCACGCACGAUAGGCAACAGAAAGUUUUCCUAAGAAAAUGUAGCUAAAGCUUUUGGUGAACUAUGCGGCUAUCUGAGUUGAGUUGUAUGUACCAUUUUGGCUAUCAGAAAUCUAUUGUCACCCCAUUCUAGUUUAAUAUAGGAAUGGUUUGGAAACCGUUGUAUAUAUGAUGUAAUCUUUAUUAGCUGUCUCUCUUCCUCGCAUUUGUUUAUCUGUUUGUAAUUUGUAUUUGCUUCAAGGGCACUAAACACAUUUCCGGCCUAAGAAAAUUACGACAGACCGCUAGGAGCUUUAAACCUUGACCUGUUAUGUAGAUGGUAAGAGGCUGGAACCGAAUCUUUCUAUGUCAAGUGUGCACAAGUAAUAAGCUAACUGAAAUUCGUAAGAAGGCCUAACCCUAACAUACAAUAGAAGCCCGUAAUUAUUACUCCUUUUUUUUUAAAUUCUUUUCAUUUAAGAAUGAAAUAAAGAAAGAGACCGGACGUCGAAUGACAAACAUAAACUAAUGAUAGAUGUUUUAAAUUUUUUUAUUUUAAAUUUAAUUUUAAAUAGUAAUGUGUUAUUUAUUGGGUGGUUAGUAAUUUUUUAUAAAAAUAAAAUAAAAUAAAAUAAUUAUAUUAUAUUAUUUAUUAAUUAGUAAAUGUUACAUCAUUUAAAAUAAUUUUUUGGAUAAAAAUUUUGAAAUAUUCUCUUUUUUGUACUUUAAUUAUUCUAAGGAAAAUGACGCGUCGCACUUCUAAGAGGCUCUGUUUCUGUCUGUGGUGGUUUGGAGCGAGUAACAUCGGGGAGGGACAGCUUCUGCAGUCUGCAACUGCCACGUGUAUGCCUGUGAUUCGGAGGAGUAAAGUUGUUGAACAGUGUAAAAGGAUAUAGGGGUCAGCACGCAGUAUUUUCACUAGUGUUGCAGCUCAGCUUCAUCGGAGUGUAUGUAGUCAAGAGUCGGAUGCAGACACAGUCACAAGGUUGAAGGGGUAACAGCUAAUAGCUUCAGGCUUCAACUGCGUCUUUGUCAUAUCUUUCCUGCAAGAAUAUCAAAUCAAAUCAACUGUUUCGCUUGUGCCUCAUCUGUUGUUCUGGAGUAGCUGGUAAAAAAGUAAAUAAAUAAAUAAAUAAAUAACGCUUUUAUUUUAAUUUUCUGACUUUCUUGUUCAUAAUUAACUUAUUAAACUAAAUGCAUUAUGACGUAAUGUCUCAACUCUAUUCUUUCGUUAGGUCUCUGAAGUUGAGUUGAGAUCAGAUCAGAUCGGAUCCAAAGCUUCAGGUCGAGGGACAUGGGGGAGGCGUGCAACGAAUGCAGGAGUUGGGAAGAGGAAAUUUAUUGGAACCAUUUCCAGUGUAUCCAUUUCAUUCAGUAUCUUCAUACUGGUUUUGAACACCAACUUGUACGUUUACCAUGCUUUUAUUUCUUUUUCAUUUUGAGGUUCUUUUACAAAUUCAGCUUGUUCACAACAAAAAUUUUUCUUCUUCAGACCCUUAUUAUUUGUUCUAAGUAUCCUUCAUUGCAAAUAAUCAUUUUUAUAUAUAAUAAGCUCAACACGCAUCAAAACCAGUAACAAACAAGGCCGGCGGGCCUGUGACGUCUGGCUUUCUGCCUUUAAAAUUAACUCGAAAUUGAAACUUUUUUUCUCGCAAUUGGUAACUGGCAAUGUGAGUGGAAGCUCCUACAGUGAAGAAGCCCCAAAUUGACAUACAAGUGGAGGAAACCAGUCACCGUUGGAACUAGGGCCGGCCUUUGUGUUUUUUUUACUAUCUCGGGCACAACAAAAUCUAAUUUUUUGCCUUUUAUUUCACUCAUGCAUUGGUUUGACUAUGUUGGUCAUAAUGUAACCUAAAUUCUUGCUCGAAAGAUGAAGAAUCAUAUUGUUGUGAAGUACGAACCCGUAGGGUGGAGGAAGGGAGAAUCCAGGACACUUCCAUAGGGUGUCCAUGAGCUUAUAUACCCAUUUGGGUUAUCAUUUUUAGCCCAUGCAAAAUCCAGGAUUGUAACACAUACUCAACUGAAUCUUGGGAAUUUACAAGUGCCGCUGCUUUCUUUCUUCCUUUUUCUGUUUUCCUUGAAUGGUUAUUGAACAUUUAUCAUUUUGUGGAAUUGCAGGCUAUUCCCGAAAAGGUUGCUAGAAAUUUAAGAACGAAGCUUCCAGUAACCGUCUCUCUGAAGGCUCCCAGCGGUUUUACAUGGGUCGUAGGAAUUACAACGAGAGAUCAUACCUUGUACUUCAGUCAUGGUUGGCCAGAAUUUGUCAAAGAUCAUUUCCUGGGAGAAAAUGAUAUCUUGUUCUUUAAGUACAAUGGAGGCUCACAUUUUGAUGUUUUAAUGUUUGAUGGGCAAAGCCAAUGUGAAAAAGCUGUUUCGUAUUUUGUCAAAAAAUGUGGGCAUACGGAGCACAGCAAUCGACGUGAAACCAGAAGAAAAAUAAGAGAAACUUCAGUGGAAGGAAUUCCCAACUCAUCACAUUGUGAUGUUGACAUCACUCCACCAGAGAAAAGAAGCGAUGAUGACAUCAACAAAAUUCCAGUAGGACAGCCAAUUGUCACGCCAGCUUCUAGCAAAAGAAUUAGGAGGGAUGAUACUUCUAACGAGUUUGUUCGUAGCAGGCGAAAUUCAUAUUUUGUCAAAAAACGUAAGCAUAAAGACCAUGGCAGUGUAUCCCAAACCAAAAGAAGAAUUGGAGAAAGUUGUGUGGAAGGAAUUCCUAACUCUUCAGAUUGUGAUGUUGACGUGACUCUGCCAGAGAAAGCAAGUAAUGAUGAAAUUAACAAAAUACCAGUGGGAGAGCCAAUUGUCACCCUAGAUUCUAGCAAAAGAAUUUGGAGGGUUGAUAGUUCUAAUGAGCUCGCUCAUACUAGGCGAAGUUCGAGAAGCAAGACACUGUCUACUAAUUUUGCAGAGCUGUUAAAGACCAAAACUGGUAUUUUCUUCUUCUCUUCUUUUUAUUGCUCGACAAAAGGUUUCUAAAUUGUUGAUUGAACAAAUCUUGUUGGCCAAUGACUAGUUUUUGUAGUCUGCUGUGUAUUCUCUUGUUUGAAUUAUUCUUGUUUAUUAAUUUUAGUUCUGCAACAAAUGCCCUAGGUGAUGAACAAACAAUCAUCAAUGGAAAUGUGGCAUUGAGCCCACCUUUUACAUCUAACAGGAGGCCUGUGACCCAAGAUGAGAAAAAUAAUGCUUUGCUAAUGGCACAAGCAGUAUCAACCACUGACAGUUUCACAGUAGUCAUGAGACCUACUCAUGUAUAUAAGAGAUUUUACAUGGUAAGCAUUUCAUUUUCAAUCUUAUUUUACCUUCUCUAAACUUUGUUAAUCUCUUUUACUUUAUUCUUCCAUAUUUUGAAAUUAAUUGCUGGAUGACUCCCUAUGUAAAAUUGUUGACCUCAUAUCAUCCUGGUUUUGCUUCGUCAGGCUAUUCCUGCAAGUUGGAUGUCAAAGUAUCUCACCCUGGAGAAUCAAGAUGUGAUUCUUCGUUUGAAUGAGAAAACAUGGAUCACCCGAUUUCAAUUUUGCAAACCUCGUUGCUCUGGAGGCCUGUCUGGCGGCUGGAAGAAUUUUGCUGUAGAUAACCACUUAGACGAAUUUGAUGUCUGUGUGUUCAGCCCAGACAACCCAGGAACCAAACCUAUGGUCCUAAAUGUCAGCAUUUUUCGAGUGGUGAAUGCUGUGGUUCCACUAACCCAAGUGGCCCCCGCUUCCUUACAGCUUUGAAAAGUUGUCCCUGAUGCGGAAAGAAAACUGCUUGUUUAUCUAGGCUCUGGGCAUGAGCAGUUGCCUUUGUAAAUUGAUGUUAACUGGUGUUGGAAGUAUUUCGCGGUUCGCUUGACUUUUGGACUGUACUUUGUAAAUUACAUGUAAUAUAUUGUCGGAUUACUUUAUGCAACUGGUCUUACACUUGUGGUAGACUAAUUAUGAUAAGCUUUGAUGUACAACUUAUCCGUUCAACUAAAGAUGCCAUUUCAGAGUAUUGCAUUUUGGGAGAUUAGGAAUUAGGAGUGUGAACAUUUUAGAAAUGUUUCACAAUAUUCUCUGUUCAACAACAAAGCCUCCUUUAUUGUUACCUCUUUAUUGAAACCAUCAUCUGAGCCUGGGUCACCUAAGAAGAUUCAAAUUUAACAACUUGGAUGACGAACUUUGUAAUUGAUUGUAUGGAUUAGCUGAAUUGCUCGAAAGAAAGUUGGAUGCAACUUUUGUGAUUGACAUGUAGCAAUGAAAUUCUAAGAUAAGUAAUCAUUUAAUGUGAUUUGUGAUAAUAUCAUGUGCCAUAUUAGUUUAAGAUAUAAUCUUGUCCAAACCUAAUAAGCAUUACAAUUUUAUUUAAAAAAUGAUGUCAGGCGCUAGUAUUGACAGCCUUCUCUUCCAUUUAUUCUUGGUAUUUUAUGUGUUUUCAUUUAUUAUGGAGGUCAUGAUUUAUGUCCCCCUCCUUAUGUAGAUAUUUCAGUAGUUUCUGAUUUAUAUUACUGGUCCUGCCUAACCCCACCUUCUGGUGGUUUUUAUAAAAAAAUAUAUAUAUAUAUCCUCUAUCGUGCAAGAUUUUCCAGCCGUCCUAUUACGAUGAAUAAGGUGAAAUUUCUGUAACUAUUUUCGUCUUCCUAUAAAUAAAAACUUAUUAUAUGAAUUGAUGUGUCACUCCGUGUAAUUUCUUGUUUAUUUCUGUAACUUUUUGUGUCUUCACUCCUUACAUUUCAUUGGAGGGCCGCAUCGGUGUCAUUUCUUAGAAAAGAAAAAUUAAUGUUUUUCUUCGAUUAAACGAUAUCAUAUUAAAUGACGGCAGUUUGAUGCACACAGGUCAAUUAUGGCAAUAGCCAUAAUCAGGAUAGUUUGAUCAGUUUAGCAGCCAUUGAUCAGCAUUUAAUCAGUACAGCAAAGACACUGUCUUAUGACUUACCCCACAAGCCCUGAACAGUCAAGAGAUAAGAGUAUUAUUAUUCUAUUAAUCCUCUUCUAGUUUUCAUAACAGAGCAAACUGCAAAGAGCAUGUCUGUCUUUUCCAGAAAAGGAAGCUCUCUGUUUUUUUGGUUUAAGUGAUAAAGUUUCCAAGGAUGGCUAGAAAGAAAUACUAAGAAAAAAGACCAACCAUCUUCGAGGUCCUAACUGAUGACUUCUCCAAACGCUUGGUAGUACCAGUACUGUUUCUUCUUUCAUUUUUUGUAUGCAUUUACUGACCUUUAUUCGAAGCAUUACAAAACCUGUCUGUUGCACAAGAGCCUUCUCCUUUUUACGUUUGUGUUCUUAAUUAUUACCACUGAUUGAUUUUCAUGCAAACCAUGUUCUCAUACGAAUUAAAUAACCUUCUUUGUAAAAUAUCAGCCACCAUGAGUGCAGGUUCUUUGCACCAGGGGUGGCCGAAAAUAUAUUUUCGGAAAAGAUUGGAGAUUUUACUGAAAGUUGGACAAUUUCAUUUUUUCACCCCUCACAUUUGCAAUGAUAUUUUGUUGCCCCUCGAAUUUGACGUUUCUAUAUAGAAUAACGUAAUAGCCUAUCUUGAUUUAUUUAAAAAAAAACCCUCUUGAUUCUGGCACUCUUUUCACAGUACUAGCAAUUCUCACCUUCAAUUAAUCCUGCAUUUGCACUCCUAGCGAUAACAGAUUUCAUGCCUUUCUGUUGUUGACUCCAUUUUGAGGACACCUGAUUUUAUUUUCUAGUGUAUGCCGCCAGCUUUUUUCAAGAACUUUAACGGAAGAUCACUAGGAAAGUGCAUGGUUGACAGUCCUACGGGCAGACAUUGGGCUGUGAAUGUGGAAGAAAACGGGAAUCGCUUGUAUUUUGGAAGUGGGAGGCAUGAUUUUGUAAAAGAUCAUUGCUUAGGAUAUGGUAAUUUUCUUGUUUUCAAAUAGUGGUAAAUCAAAGUUCAGAACCAAAAUCUAUUAUAAGACCUACUCCGAGAAGAUUAUAAUAAAGCCAGCCAACAAGACGACCAAUGAUCACCCUAACUUGCACACAAAGCAUGAAAAUCAAAAUGAAGCUAGACCUACAACUCUGCAGUGCAAGCAUGAGACUUGCAAAGCUAUCAACAGAAAGAAACCAACCAAUUACUUAAACACGAGUACGUGCAUGGAACGGGAGAGUUGUAUCAAAUAGCAUCUUAUUACAUAAAUAUUAUUCAAAGUUUUACUUUUUCUCAAUUUGGAGUUGAAUGCGUGUGUAGGUGGCUGUAGAAGGUCAAAGAAGAAACCUGUUAUUGAAGGAGUGAGGAAAGCACUAAGAAAAUCACCAUGUCACUCGUUUAAGUCACAGAAUUUCUAUUUCAUUGUACCUUCAAUGAACACCCGCAAACAGUAUGUGAUAAGGUUCCUGCAAAAGAUUUAUCACACACUAACUUCAAAACUUUGCUCGUACAAAAGACAGGAAAGAGACAUAGCCCACGACUGAUAAUUUCACCACUUUUUAGUUUUAACUUCUCAAAUGCAAGCCAAACUCAUUUUCCAUCCAAAUUUUUCAUGAAUUCAUUGCAUGAGUUGCAUCUGAGAAAUCUCUAUAUCUGAGUUGGCAAAAUAAGAAUGAUGAAGAUUGAGUUAGAUACCAAUAAAUUAACACAAACUAGAAUGAUGAUGUGAAAGUUCAAAAAAAGGAGAUCAGGACCACCAUAAGGAGAAUAUGCUCAUAGGAACAGGCCCUCUUUAAGAGAAUUAUGCUGUUGCAAAAAAACUGCCUCAACCAACUGUCCAGAAGUAAUGCUUGGCUUCCUCAGGCUGUCAGGCAGAAGGUCUCUGACACGCAGAGAAGAGUUGCCAACUAAUGAAUGCCAUCACCAACGAAGUAAAAAGUUCAAAGCCUACCACCUUUGGAAAUUGCCAUCCCAAUCCCCGCCUCAAAUAGCUGCAAAGGCCAUAUAUCAGAAUAAUAAGGGUAUUGACAAGUACUAUUCUUUACACAGCUGUUCCAAACCAUGCAAGCAAAAUGCUUUUAAUUGGUGAUCACUGCAUGGAUGCUAUAAGGUCAACCACCAUAUGGUUUUAAAAGAUACAUCAUUUGGGGUUUGUGGACAGUUUAUUAUGGGAAAAUGAAGCCAAGUUUACAGGUUCAAAAGUAAUUAAGAAAGACCAUAAAUUAGGCCUCCCAAAUGUUUGUAUUUCCAAAUUGAUGGAUUUGAAGUAAAUUAACCCAAUUUUAACGUCAGAAAAAAACUCAAAUCUCGCAAACGUUUUAGUAAAGAAAACAAUGUUACAAUGAAGGUUGAAGAACAAACCUUGUAAUAGAUGGCAUGGUUGCAACAAUCCCAGCACAUGCAUAUAUUAUGGGAAUCAACGUCUUCGGUUUGUUUUUGCGAAGCCACAUCAAAGAUCCCAAUGCAGCAAGGGAAAUACUCAACACCUGAAAUCAUAAUUAAAUCAGGAUACAGAUAAUUUAACCCUCGACUGGAAACAAGUGGACAGACAUAUCAGCUCCAUUUCCACAGGGAAAAAAUUGACCUACUUCCCAUCUUGCUGAAAUUUAUGCAUUAUAAGAUCAAAAAUUGCAUGGUGCAAACAGAAAGCAGUUAGAAAAGUAAUUUCUGUCAACUGAGAGAACAAAUUUACCAAAUUCGCAUUAGCUUCUAGCCCCUGAAGAAGGUAGUCCCAAGUAAACUCUAGUCCUCUAGCACCCACCCAAAGUGGAGCCAAUCUAUGUAGAACAGAAUCAGCAAAAGCCCACCCUGCCAGCAUGGAGAAAGAAGUGAGAUAGUGACUUUGAAGUUUAAGAUUUACAGUUUUGACCAGUCUAAAAGGAAAGAGCAAGGACCUCAUUCCCACUAUUUACAACUAAGUUCACAUGCAGUCACAAAUAAAUUAAAAAACCUUUUUCUUUAGAAAUUACUAAAAGAAGAUAAAGAAAUUAACAUCUCUAUAUCUCUCUCUGUGCGCACAUGUGAGUGUGUUUUAACAAAAUAACUGAAUCAAGGUUUACCCACCCAGUCCAACAGCUUGAAAUUUAUGAUUCUGAGAAAUGUUCCUGUGAGUCAACUGGGUUAAGGCAAAGUAAAGCCCAGCAACAUCUAUAAAACCGAUCAAUGCUUUCAACAGUUCCUGAAGAAAAACGACAUUCUUGAUUGUAUGAUGAACAAACCACUGGAAGUAAACCAUCAUAAACAAAGGCAUUAUCCAAGUAAGAAUAAAAGCUAGCUACACACCACUCACACUGGCUGACAGAACAAUCAAAUACUAAUCUUGCACAGACUUGCAAUCAUCCUUUUAUAAUGUUUCAUGAAUUUCAAAACACAUAGUAUUUAUACAGCCUUGCAGUAUAUAAUGGUCAUAAAAUAUACAACACCAACUUGAAUUUGUAAAGAACUACUUACUAGCAUGCAUAAUCUCUUUUAUCUCUAAUAUCUCUGAAGUGUAAUUACCAAAGAAUAAAUAAAAAUCAACUUAUGUGGAAUAGAAAGUAAGGAAAUUAAGAACGUGAUAACCGUACGAUUAUGAAAAUCAAUUAUUAUAAUACCAACGAAGCUGAUCAAUCAAAAUUUGCCUCUCUCGUUACAUGUAUAAUCUAGCUUUCUAAUAUAUAAAUUCCAAAAUCAGCAAACUAUUACAAGUUAAGCUAAAAAAAAUUUCAACUUGGAAAGAUUAAAAAAAACAAAAAACAAAAAAAAAAGUACCUGAUAUGGAUCGAAGUUAUCAGUCUCUGAUACCUUAAGAAACGUCGCUAAGCAAACAAGCUGCACAAGUAACAAUUCUAAUUUCAAAUAAUUCACAGCUUAAGUACAUUAAAUUAUGAGUUAACCAAGCGUACAAACCUUAACAAGAGCUGUGCCGAGAUAAACGAGAGCCGCUUUCACAGAGGUACCAAGUGUAUCAUACUCGGAUCUGCACAAGUAUAGUGUCAAUUAGCCUCCAAAGACAAGUUACGGAUCUAAAAAUUUUGACGUGGGAUAGGGGCGGUACAAGGGCGUGGCGGAGUAGUAGACGGCGUGAGGGCCGAAAGUCAGAAUCGCACAGUUGAAGAAGUGAAAAACCGUCAUCUUUACCUAACCUUCCUCUCUCCGUCACGGAAACCGCUGUGGUGAUCCAACAACAAGUCAGUCCCUUAGAUUUUAUUUUUAUUUUUAUCCCGUAAUCUGUAGGUUGUAAUCAGAAUUUCUGAUGAUGGUUCAGGAGGGAAGAAGCCGAUGACUAGGCCGGAUCUUUGUUUCUAAUUGGGCCCAGGCCCGUGGCUACCAGGUCCACAUCUGUUGUAGGCCCCCAAUGGAUAUUCUGAAAGACCCAGACCCUCUUUCAAUUGGCGGGUCUAAAUAUAUUAAAUUGGAGGGCUAAAUAGAAACUCUCUCCAUCCUAAGGCGUAGAUCGCUGAAUUUAAUUUGCAGAGACUGAUUGGGUCCGGUUACGGUGUAAUUAUGGUAUUGUGCUACAGUUGUAUUCAGCCGUUGAAUCCACUUGGAUGGGUGGGGUUCAUUGGGAUCGAACUGCUGAGUUGCACCAUAAUUUUUUCCGACUGAAUGUCACUUAUUGGUUGGAGAGAGAAACUAAUCUCAUAUUUGAUUGGGAGAGUUUGAAGAGCGCUACGAAGAGUGAGUACGUUACCAAGUCAAAUUACUCAAUUAAAUUUCACAUUUUUAAUAUGACAUAUUAUCUAUCUUUCCCCUCAAUUGGAAUUUUGUUUGCCAAUAUGAAUGUCUGUUCGAUAGUUACAGUAUGGUACCUAAUAUGUUGGGUACAAUUAAUUGACAAUAUAUGAAUAUUUAACGAUAUAUAUAUAUAUAUAUAUAUUAUAGAAAAUUGGGCUUGAUGUGUUAGGGGCUGUUGGCUUAUGAAUGUCUUUCAUAGAUUAGAAUUUGGCAUGUACAUGUGCAACUGUUAAGCCAAAAACAGGUAAGGUUGAAAUGUUUCCUGCAACAGCUCUUGCCUGCUAAAACUCCAAAUAUGCGUUUCCAAUUCCCAAUUUGAACCGGUCUGGUUGUUUUUUUUCCUCUGAUGAGACCGCCUAUACGAAAGCAAACACAUUCUUUGCGAAAUGAUCUUUUAUAUAUAUCCAUCUCAAAGCAUUACGCAUAGCCGGUGACAUAUAUGGAGAAUUAAUAUUUAAUAAGAUCGAGCAAGAAAAUUUUAUGUCGCUUCUUUUUUUUUUUUUUGUUUUUUCUUUUUUGUCGGUUUCUAGUAAAUAGUAAUGCGUGCCUAACAGAAAUGUGGCUGUAUGAAUUUCUUUCACAUCAUAUUCAAGCUUAAUUUAUAGUUCUAGUGCGAGAUGAACAUUGAUUACUAUCAUAAUUAACCAGUACUACAAUACCAAUAAACGAUGUAAAAUAGGAUUAGUAUGAAGUUCAAAGUACACUGUGCUAUACGUCAUGGGAGCAGUUAUUCCCUCAUGAAAGGGAAACAAGGAUUUAUUUUGUUGAUGUUGACAUUCAAGGACUAGUUUUUAAUUAUAUCUCAUUGAGGAGGAGAGCUGGACAAUUUGACAGCCCAAGAGCAGCUUUCUUUCUGGCAUUUAGAAAGAGCCAAAGAAACCAGCAAGUGAAUGAGAAACAUAACCUUUAAUUGAGGCAAUUAGCCAAACGCCUAUAUGGCCAUAUGUGAAAAAAAGUAGCACAAAUGUGGUCCAGAUGAGUAUGGGAAAUUGGGACUGCGACGGUGUCAUAAUAAUACUAAAAAGCCAUCAUUCCCAAACAACACAUAAAGAAAUUUAAGGAAGAUAGGGAAUAAAUAGAGAGAGUGGGAAUGUAGGCGAUAAUGAAUAGUAGUGCAAACAACAUCCCCACACCCCCACUUUUUUAAAGAUAGAGGUGAGAAAAAUCUAAACUAAUUUUUUUAGUCCAUAAUUUUUGGAGAUUAAAUUAAGAUAAAUCUAUAUUUGUUUUAUAUUGUUUUGAGUUAAAAUAUUGUUAUUAAUUUUUUCUUUUGGGAUAGUUAAAUUAUUGGUAUCAGCGACAUAUCUCAAAUAUUUGGGAUUAAACAAUGAAAUAUCAAUUCAUAGGAUUAAGCAAUGAAUUAUUAGGUCAGUAGGUAACUGUAAAAAAUUAAAAAUAUAUGAAAUUAAGCAACGUAACAAAUGUGAAAAAAAUGGCCUCCCGGGGGUUUUAAUGUAGGGGGGCAGCGUCCAUUCUGAAAACCCUAACAAGAACUGCUUGCAGGCACAUGAUCGCCCUGAAAGUGGGUCCCUUGAUAUAAGUACGUACAAUCCAUCAGAUUACGUUAAUCUAGGGUACGUUGGAUUUUGAUCAAGACUCAAGAGAGAGGUUGCUCUAUUUUGAUGAAGGCAGCAAAUGAAAUCCCACGGUAGGCACGUGACCUUUUUUAAAAAAAUUUAAAAAAUAUAUUAAAAAAACAAAGCCACGUAACAAAAAUCAAAAUGAAAAGAUAUAACUUUAUCUCUUACUUUCCGUUCGAUUGGAGAUUGCUCCUUAGACUUUUUAACAAAUACGGAUGAUCCCACCCUUUUGAUCUGAUCUGUGUAAAUUAACUUCGGGGCUCCACUUCUGUUCUUUGAAAGAUAUAAUGUGAAGAAGAACCGUACUGGUUUUUUAAAAUUUCAAGAAAAUCUUGAUGUGUGAUAGAGGGAGAAUUUUGCCUGUGAAGGAGUAAGAGAAGAAGUUACAGAUCCGUCGCCUUCAAUUGAAUUCACCCGAACCGAACCGAUGUAACUCUUUGAGUGACCGCGACCGCGACAGAUGAUGCAGAGGCCAGGAAUUUCAAACAAGUCAAUGAAAUAAUUGAAUUAUGCUUCCCCAUCACAACUUGUCUCUUUUUUUAUUUUUAUUUUUCAAUUAUCACCCGCCCCCCCGGCCUCCACACAAAUAACAUAACAAAGUAUCAAUCUUUUUUUUUUUUUUUUGGAGCCAACAAAGUAUCAAUCUGCUAUUUGCUAUUUCGAUGUUAAAUCUUUCCGCAGUAUCAAAAUCUGAAAUUGGGAAUAUACUUUCUUCUGCAUAUAACUUUAUUUGAUCAGUGAACUUAGGUAACAAAUUAAAUCAAUAAGUAAUGCAACCAAUUAGCCACUCGCCCAAAGGCCCGCUGGUUAGGGCCGCUGUCCUUGGAGGAUAGUAGUUCGUAUCCCCACAAGCGCAAUGUAAAGAUAUUUUCUUCCUUAAUUAUAUAAGAUAGUAAUAGUAUUCUCUCUUAUCCAAAUAUGAGUGUAGUAGACAUACAUAGAAUAUUAACGAGAGUUAAAAUCUGGGCAGAGGUUGGUCUCAUUAAUAGUCUGAUUUGUAAAUACCAGUUAUAGUUUUAUGUAAUAUAAGUUGUAGUUUUAGCAAUAGACUAAUGUAAUAAAAAAAAAUAAUGCGACCAAUUAAUGAAAUUUUAAACUUUUUUCUAACAAUGCAUUGAUAUUCUUUCUUAAGCUUGAAAAACUUUUAUAUAUAUUAGUUUUCUAGUUAGAGAUUUUAAAAUACGGGAAAAAAUUGUAAGGUUUUAAAGUUUUUUCAUAUUUUUCUGCACUUUAAAAUGCUAAAUCAAAAAUUUUUUAUAUAUAAAUAUAUAUAAAACCUCAAUAUGCAAAAUCUAACUUCUUGUAAUCUUUGAUUUUUUUUUUGUUUUUUAAACAGAGAUAUGCUCCUUUAGUCAAUAAUUUUCAAGUCAAUUAGGGUUUACCUCCAGUACCGAUAAGAUUAAUUUUAGGUGCUCUUUUAUCCCAACCUCCCCCACCUUUUUUUCCCCCCUAAAAUUUCUUGCUUGAGAUUUGUAAGAACAAAAUAAUCUAGUGUGGGGCUGGCGUAGGUAGGGUCUGACUUCAGUCACUCAAAUUUAUCAAAUCCAAUUGACGUAAUUUUCACCUUGUUUCCCAAAUAUACGGGCCAGUUAAUUAUUGUUGCUCGGGAAUGCUAGCUACCUCCGAGAAGCUGCUUAUGCUUACGAACUAUUCUAAUUUCCCAGCUGGCCCUCUGCCCGCAGCCGGUGGCGAGUUGUGUGAAACAGUGAACCAUUUCUCUCCUUUUAUGGGGAAAAAAUAGUUGCUGUCACUGUCAUUUUAAGUUCACGAUCAAUCAAUUAUAUUGACCAUUUUAUUAAACCAGACUUUAUUUGACCGCAUUGUACGUCUGGUAAAUAAAUUUUUUAUCUUGAGGAAAGCAAAUUAAAGAAAGCAACGCAGUCCAUCCCUUUUCGGAGUGUUAAACUCUCCUAUGUCAUUCACCAAGACAUGAGAAAAUUCUACAGAAGCAGCAAAAGGACUCGAUCGUGUCAUGUGUCAUUCCAUAUAUUGUUGUUAAUACUUAAUUAUAUGAUGUAAUGUCGCGGUGCACGUCAGCCUAAACGGCGUAGAUUUCGGUGAUUCCUUGCUUUCUCUUCUGUCCUUCUCCCAACAUUACUCAAAGCAUCAUGCAGUGGGAGAAGGUGAGAAAGAUGUUCUAUUUUCAAAGCAACACAUGCCCCUAUCCUAAUCUCACGAAUCACUAUGAAGAACCUAAUAUUCUUCCAAAUGCUCCGUAGUUAUUUAAUUUAUUUAUUCGUCCAGACAAAGCAAGAAGAUAACAAAUAUAAUAUCGCUAGCUAACUAUCAGCUACUUGGUUACCUUCCAAAAAUCACACAUUCAAAUUUAAUUCUACCUAAACUCUGGAUGUUAUACACAGCGGCCCUCAACUUUUCAUUUAAUGCACGAUGAAUUCAGUACCGACAUGAUUUUCAAUUUGCUGCUCUUUUUAAUAAGCCUAUAUACACAUACGAUCGGAGAGCUAGGAGGAUCCCAUGCAAAUUCAUGCCCAGUAAAGUGGUACUAUGCUUAAUAUCAACAGCUUAAUUAUUUAAACGAGAGUUGAGAAAUAUAUAUGUAGUUUCAAGGCGAAUAUAAUUAAAGGUAAAAGAAUAAUCAAAACAUAAACAAGAGAAAAGACAAACACAUGGAAUAUGGAAUAUAGCCAAAGCAUUUGACAACAGAGCAAGAGAGCCGUGGAGGGACAUGUUGACCGGAUAUAUAUAUCUCCCCCUGCUUACUAUUCAAAAAUCCAAAGAAAGAGAGAGAAAUAAUUAGCGUUAAUAAAUAAAGUAAGCAUCCUGCAGAAGAAGCUAAAAGAGUUUCAUUUCCCGGAGAAUCUAGAGCGCAUCAGGCGCUGACCGUGGCUUCGGAAACUAUUUAACAAAUGAUUAAACAUUUUUCUAGUCAUCUUGUUGUUACUGUUAUCAGCUAAUAAACAAAUGGAGAAGGCCCCGGACCCAUGGCCGUGGGAUUUCGAGCUCAAUUUGUUAAACAUUUUAAAUAUUGGUUUUGAGAAUACGGAGAAAAUAACAACAAGAGAAGAGAACAAACAAGAGCUUAUCACCCAGACAAGGUCACGUCCGUAAGGUCACGUGAUGAGAAGCCACGUUGACGCCGAGGAAUAUGGUCUUUCUUUGUGGCUUUCCACGCGCGGGUGGGGCUCGACAGCUUGGAAUAUUUCGACACGGAGAGGGAAUAUUGGAUUUGUAUUACAUUAGACAAAUACUAGCCGUUGAAUUUAUCCCCCCCUCCCCCUCCAUUUUAAUUCUUUUAAACAUUCCCACUCGCCUUUUCCUUCACUCGCCACAGGAUUACCGCGGCUGUUGAGGCGCGUGGAUUACUAAUUUUUUUUCAAACGGGUCCCACUUCCCGCGGAGAGUUGCAUGUGGGUUUGUGACCCUAGUGUCGCCGGACGCCCCAGCCAAUCUGACACUUCUACCCUCUCAAUUAUAGUCCAUAUUCCUUUCCCCCUUCCUUAUUACUCACGUCACGAGACCAUUUUAGUUUCUGAAAUUUUUCAAUUUUUUAUUUUUUUGGUUGGGAAUUUUCAUUGGCAGUUCGCACGUGUACAUCUCCAUACCUAAAUAGCAACGUGGUAAAAUGCUACGUGCACUCAAGCCUAGACUAAAGUUUAGAGAUUCUUCUGUUCUUGCCCAUUAAAAAUGAGUCAUUUAUCUGUGACUUAUUAGACUAGAGCUGGCAUGGCAAUUGGUCGGUCUAGGCGGAUUUAAAUUAAAGCUAGUUAAAGAAGAAUUUAGUAAUAGAGCUGUCGUGUAAAAAAUCUAAUGUUUCAUGCUACGUGCGAAUUAGUAUUAUUAAUUAAGGGAAAUUUAAGGAGGUUAAUUUGUUUGCAUGAUAUCUAGUACGUUUUAGUUUAAAAUGAUGUCAAUCCCAAAACCAAAUGUAUGUUAGGUUUUCUUACCCCAAAAGGAAAAAAAAAAAAUGUUAGAAUAAGAAUUAAUGUGUAUGUGUACAGCGUACAUGCCAUGCCUGCAUGGAUGGCAGUGACUACUAAUAAGUAUAGGUAUAGGUUUGAACAGAGAUAUCUUGGCCUGCCAGUAAUCCUCAUUCAUGAAAUAAAAUGGGGAAUAUUCUAAUUAUAAGAGAAGCUAAGAUUGAUAAAUAAAAUAAAAUAUUUAAGAUGUAAUAGAAACAAAAAGAGUAGGGGAAUUUAAAUGGGUCGCGAUCCAUCAACAUAGAAGAGAGAGAGAGAGAGAGAAAGAGAGAGACUCGGUUUCGUUCCAAAUAUUCCAUUGAACAGUGCCCCGUUUGGCGUUUAAUUAUGUCUCGAAUUCCAACCAUUCCCUGCUGCAUAAACCUCCAUUAUAUCCCUGUAUCCAGCAACCCUCCUUUUUCAUUCAUUCUUCGUUAUAAAUAUUUUAAGUCAAAAAAAUUGAAAAAAAAAAAGAGAGCUCUCUGGUCCUCUCCCAGGAGAAAGGUGAUCUGAUUCCUUUGCGUCCUUAAAUACACAACUUCCCCUUUUCACUAACUUUUCCUUUAAACUAUCACCCCCAGAAAAACUCACUUACUUUCCCUUUUGCUUUCAUAAUUUAAUAAUCUGACUAGUAGUCUUCCUCUGCAAUUCCUUUACCCCCUUCCCUUUUCCUCUGAUCUUUCUCUCAACCCUAGGGCUAGGAAGCCUACUAAAAGCCUUCCUAUUCACUCACCUUCAACACAUUACAAAUCAUAAGGCACUCAUGAUAUAAUCACAACCACUCUUUCCAGCUCUCCUUUCAAAGUUUUCUUUCACCUUUUUGUUUCCUUAUUUAUUCUUGUCAAACAUCUUCCACCAUUUCAAACUUCUCUCCUUUUCUUGUCAAUAUUUACUUAGAUCCUUCUUACUACCCAUCCUCACCUAAUGUUCUCAAGCAUGAACCCCUUAAUGAGAACUGCUUCUUUAUCACCCAUGCCUGAUCUUUCCUUGCAGAUCAGCCCGCCAUCUGCUUCAGAUUGUGAAGCUAAUAAUAAUAAGGAAGUUCGGUUUGAUGGGUUAGUGAGAAAUAGUUAUGCAUUCUACAGUGAUGGGGGCUCCACCACCGACUCCGCUAGCAGCGGAAGCGAUUUAAGCCAUGAGAAUCGCUUUUAUAACCCUGCAGAGAGGAGUUACAAUCUUGGCCCCAGUGAGCCCAUGUUGAGUCUUGGGUUUGAAAUGGCAGAUUUAUGCCCACCUCCACCACAGCAACUGCCGAGAACAAUUAAUCAUCACCAGCAAUACCAGCCUCAAAUCCAUGGCCGUGAGUUCAAGAGGAAUGCAAGGAUGAUUAGUGGAGUCAAGAGAAGCGUCAGAGCUCCCAGAAUGAGAUGGACAACAACUCUUCAUGCCCAUUUUGUUCAUGCGGUCCAGCUUCUUGGCGGCCAUGAAAGUAAUUAAUAAAAAUACAAAUUUCCCACCGAUUUGUUCUGUAUCUCACGCUUAAUUAUUUUUGAAUUGAUCAUAUAUUAGUUUGACUGAACCGAGAAACUAAGUUUUUCUUUUUCUUUUUCCCUUUUGUACUGGAAAAUGUCGCAGGAGCAACUCCAAAAUCCGUCUUAGAGUUGAUGAAUGUAAAGGAUCUAACCCUAGCUCACGUGAAGAGUCACUUGCAGGUGGGGUAACUGUUUACAGUCUUCAUGGCUUUAAACUUAUGUAUGGUUAGAUUUUAUUAUGAUUCUCCUUCUCAUAGUUGUUAAUAUAUUGCACCUUUUAUCGUAUUCUAAUUUUGUAUUUGCUAUGAUUCAUUUGUAAUGGUUGGUUGAGAACAAAGGGAUAAGGACAAAAUGGCAUCUAGAUUGUAAUCUAAAGCUACAUGGACUUUUUUCUCAUUUUUUUUUUUUUUUUUUCUGUGGGUGUUCAUGCAGAUGUAUAGAACAGUGAAGAGCACCGACAAAGGAUCAGGUAAAUUGGAUUGUCCCUCAAACAACCCCAAAUGUUAUUUGAUCUCUUCAAUUAUUCUUUUUGUUUGGGGGCUUGGUGAUCCAAUAGUGUGACAGAAAAUCUCCAUUAUUUGAUCCACUGUUCCCCAACUGAUGCAAAAUGAUUUUGGGAUUGGACUGACUUCAGUCCAUGUGAUGAAUUAUUCGCUCGGUGUCUGAUAAAGCUAGAGCAUUAACUCUAUGCAUGUAUAAUGCAUAAUUACAUUGCAGGUCAAGGCCAGACAGAUAUGGGAUUAAACCAACGGACAGGGGUUGUUGAUCUGGAAGGAGGAUUAUCUUGUGCAAAAUCUGAUACCAAUUCUUCUCUUCACCCAACACCAUCAUCACCACAAACAACAUCACAACAGAAACGCCAAAGGUUAGUGCUGUAUUUUUUUCUUUUACAUUGGAGCCCAUUAUCUCAAUGUGAACAUACAUAUAUACAUGCACGCAUGUACACAAUAGCCUUGGUUGCGAAUUUUUUGGUCAUACACUGUGUUUGUCUCUGUCUGUACUCGUGGUGUAGACAAAUGGAUUUUAUUAAUCUAGGUAUGAAGUUGGAUUUUGAUGAACACUAACCUAGGGUUUGUAGAUCCAUUGAAAAGUUGACGAGUGUGGCCUCGGUAGUAACAGUUUCCACUCGCGGCCCAUAUCACAUCCAUUAGAUGGUGAACGUGUUGAUCCCAAAUUCUCAAUAUUAUAUUUAUUUGCCACAAAAGUCAAGGGUUUUGUUCAAAUCUCAAAGUCGUUGUAAUCUCAACGGGUAAGUUUUCGCGCCUUAAUAAAUCAUGGCAGGCUAGAUAGGCUCCCUGGAAUCAGAUAUGUCCUUUGCCCGGUCUAGUAAUUAAUGUUUUGUUGGAUGAAUUUUGUUGACUUCAGCCACUACUGUGGAAGAUUCAGUUUUAAUUUGUGUUCCAAAAGGUAUACUUAGAGUACUGAUCCAAGCACUCUAUUCAUGAACGUUAAGUCCCAAAAUAGAUGUGCGCAUUUAGUAUACCGAACCUCAUGCUGCAUGACAUUUCACGCCCUUUGCCUUGCCGAAUGAUGCACAUAUUAUACCCAAAUCUGAUAUUAUAGCACACCAAAAUCUUAAUGAAGUAUAUCCUCUCACUAGAUCAGCAUCAAGUUCUCAAUGAUCUGCUUUUCGAUGUUUAUAUUCAACCCUAGAUGUUAAAAAUAUAUCUGUUAAAAAAACAAAAAAAAACUACCAAGUGUUAAUCACUGUCCGAGGAGGAGUUUAAAUCCCGAUGUGCAUAUGCAAAGGAGUUUUUAUUUUUAAUAUUUAAUUGAUCCAAACUAUUCUAUUGAGGCCUAAAUGUACAGAUGGACUUGAAGCUACCUUAGAUAGGUCAUAAUUUCUCACUGUAACAGCAAUAAAUGAUAAUAUAAUACCUGCAAAUUCCUGUAUAAUUUUAUAGUUACGACUUACGAGAAAAACAAAACGAUAUAUUAGUCAGCAUUGAUGCCCCAAUUUAUUACAAUACUAUAACACGUUGAAGUUUUGCCCAUAGAAUUCUACAAUCGAUCAAGGCAUCAAUUACCUUAAAAGUUACUUUUGCCUUACACUACUAAGUGCUAAUAAUUUGUUACAAUCUGUUCUUUUUUUUGGGGUAAAUUAUGAACAGAGGCUCAUUGCCAUCAAUGGAGACAAACAACAGGAGCAUAUCAAACUCUGGAAAUGCAAUGACAUAUUCCCAUUUCAAGGCAAAUGACACGAAGGUAAGAUUAUGUGAAUUUGACCCAAUCCCCCCCCCCCCCCCCCCCCAAAAAAAAAAAAAAAGAAACAUGUUGUUGACUUGAAUUAAUUAAUUAAAAUUAAUUUUGCAGCUGUAAUUAAUUACUGACGUAUUUUAAAUUUUAAUAGGGGGACGGACGCAAGACAACCGUCCAUAUGUCUGAUAAUAACAAGGUGGAAGUGGAGAGGUUGGACUCUAGCUCUUUGACAGCUUCUGAUGAUAAGUUGCUAAAUCUUGAGUUCACUCUUGGAAGGCCAAGUUGGCAAAUGGAUUAUGCUGAUCAAUCUUCAAAUCAUGAGUUAAACCUUCUCCAUUGUUAAACAUUACCAAUCAAGUCCAUUAAUUAAAUAUAAUGCUUUUUCAAUUAGUUCCGAAUGUGUAGUCUCUAAUUUUUCCUAACUUGUUUGAAGCUCUUUGAGUUUUGUCUGCAAUCAGAUAAACGGUAUUGAAUGGAAAGAUCUAACUCAAGCUCUUAUAUGUUUUUUUUUCUGGAGUCAUAAGAGUUCAUAGAUUUAUCUAAAUAGUGCAAUAUCAAAGGUUGCUCAUAUAUUUUGAUGAUGGUUCUGUGGAAAGAAACAUACUGCAGUACCCCAUUUUGAUCACUUUCAGCGAUGGUCCAGUAAUGGUCCUUUACUAGGGCGCUACGUGACACCCCGACUGGUCAUGAAUAAUAUGGACAGGUGGAAUAAAACUUUAGCGCGAAAUAUCUGUGAGUGUUAUGUCAAUCAUAUUCACCAUUGUUGCUGUGCAUAUCGAGCAAGUGUUCUCCUGCCCUUCUUGACUUUGAGGAUAUAUAGAUGAUUGUAGGUUUGAAUCAGGUUUUUCAAUUUACAUCUCAUCUCUAAUUAAGACCGUAUCUAGAUGUAUUCCAUUUUCAAACGAUCGAUAAGGUUUGAACAGACAGAUACCCUUUUUCUUUUUUUCUUUUUUUUUGGGAUUGGGAACAGACAGAUACCUACUAAAGGAAAUAGUGUAUUCGGUAUUCCCCAUUGGGAAUUGGCAUAUACUUAUCCAUUUUUAAAAAAUUAUUUAAAAUUCAUCUCAUUUAGAUUAAGACCCCAAACCUAUGAGGAUUUUGCCAUCCCUACGUUUAAAAAAUUUGGAGAGUAGAAACUUAGAAAUCUACCCCACAAUUAAUGGGGAGAAAUCUACAUUACAUAAGAAAAAUUACCUGUGGAGGCGUAAACAUAGUUACUCAUCUUUAGGCUGGCUUACUAUGGUCUUUGCGCACACUUCAUAGCCCUUAAUCCUAAAGCCGCUCCCAUAGUAAUUGUGAAGGGGCCCUAGGCUGGGCCACAAGAUCAAUAAUCCAACUAUAUAUGAAGCCCAAUUGCAGCAAUGCAGCUUCAGCACAGCUGGCACAGAAAGCGAGAGAGCGAGCUUCUUUUCUACUCAUAAAUAAUUAAAGAGGGAUUUUUUUUCGGGCAUGUCCAGAAAUUCGAUCUCAGUGUUGGAAUUGUAUUGAUAGCAAUGUAAGUGUAGCAUCAUUGUGGAUUGUCUCUUAGCGUGGAAAAUUGGAAAUUGUGUUAACGUCAGAGUAAUGGAGCACCCUCAGACUCGAGACUCUUGAGCCCAGUUCCUCUGCUAUUCAUCAUCACCGCGUAUCUUCUUCUGUUAGAUUUUGGGACAAAAAUGUAUUCCAUGUCACUGAAAAAAGCCUAAUAGCGCGUUCCUUUCGACCGCCAAAAAAAGGCAGUCGUAUAAAAUUGAAAUGAAAAUAGUUAACUUUUUAAAUGUUAAUUGGCUGAUAUUGGUUUAUUAUUUGUUCCAUCAUAUUGCGUUUAUACCUCUCCGUAAGACUGCUAUCUAAGGAUUGACUUAAGAGUUUCUUUACUUUAUAAUAUGUGUAAAUUGUGCUCCCACAGCAAGCCCCCGGAGGCUGGUGUGGUGCCCUUUUUUAUUAAUUCACCUCCACUUUUUCGCAAUAUGCCUUUUUGCGACGGUGAUAUUGCGACCAUUGUUUCCCUUUUGACGGCGAAAAAUGCCGUCGUAAAAAGGUUCCCUGCGACCGGGCAUCACAAUUUGUAAAAGGGAAGAAAAAAUGAAGGACUCGAUUACUUCUGUCGAUGCCCAGCCGUCGUAUAAGACCUUUCACGACGGUAAACAGCCGUCGGCAAAAGGAUCUUUUUUUUUUUUUUCUCUCCUUUUAGUCAUCACCUGUCUCCAUCUUCAUUUCUCCCAUGCCCCCACUUCCACUACUUUUCCUGCCAAUCGUGUAACAGAAAUAUCAUUUGCUCCCUCUCUUCUAAAAUUUCAAAAUUAUAAUAAUAAUAAUUUGCGACGGAAGUUAUCAGUGGCAAGGGCCAUGCACUUAUUGCUGGAAUGGUGCUCAUCAUGGAGUUGGGGAAAGUGGCGUGAUCAAUGUGUCAAACCCAGGUUAGGUUUGACAAACAAGUCUCUUCUUACCUAAUAAGUGCCUGAGAAAAUUUGGAAUAUAUUAAAUAAUAACUAUGCAGAGACGGCCUGAUUAUGCUCUUACUUCAUAUUGUAUCUGUUAUUCAAUAAUGAUAUUUCAUUUAUUUGAAGAUAGUUUUUUACACUUUAGCCAACUUGAUGGUGCACUUCACUUCAUCAUCCUAUAUUUGAUUCUUCAUAAAGAUAAAUUAUUUGUUUGAAAAUAGAAAUAUUACUCAGUAGUUUAUUGUUUUGGAAUUUAGUUGAUUAAACUGAUCUAUCCCUCUUCAGGUAUGUGAUCAGUAACAUUGCUAGAUUAAUUUCAGUUACUGUAGAAUCCACACCCUGUAUGGGACAGAGAUCCUCAAUGUAGCUGGUUCCCACCAGUCAGCAUUCUGGUUUCAGGUCAAUUAGCGAGGGCCUAGCUAAUAUGAUUUACAUUGUUGACAAAUAGUAGUAAGGAAACUGGAGCUAGUUAUUCUUCAACAACCAUAAUGCAAAAACUUGAUGUAUGAGAACCAAAGCUUCUCUAAUCCUAAUUAGAGAGAUAACCCCAGCAACUUUUUUUUUUUAUAAUUUUAUUCUUAUUUUAUCUUUUUAAGAAUGGAAGUCAUGAUCCAAUGUAAGCUAUAGCCAGAUGAGUACACUGAUUUUUUAUUCUAUCUCAUAAAAAAAGAUGGUGCAUAUACAAUGUUCUCCUCUCGCGCCAUUUAAAAAAUGCUAUUUGAAGGAAAUAUUAAAUAAAUAAACAAAGGUAAGCAUGUCUCUUGCUAGAUAUUGUUAGUUAUGGGAUGCUUCAUGCUGAUUUUAGUCAUUUUCUUGUUUUGAGUGGUCUUAUAAAUAGACUGGAAUUUUCAUUUUGUGUUUUCAUAUCCCUAACAAACAAUGGAUCUAUUUCUCCCCUUAAGUUCCAUUGUUGUUGUCUUUUCAUUACUGUUAUUUCUCUACAAUGCAUCCCUCAGAGGGAGAAAGAGUUCUAAUGUUAGGAAGACCCAAAAGGCUCCUGAACCUGCUGGUGCAUGGCCAAUUAUUGGCCAUCUUCACUUAUUAGGUGGUGGUGAUCAGCUCCUCUACCGAACACUUGGAGCAAUGGCUGAUAAGUGGGGACCUGCAUUCAACAUUCGCCUUGGCAGUCGCUCUGCUUUUGUAGUUAGUAGUUGGGAAGUAGUGAAAGAAUGCUUCACUAUUAACGACAAGGCACUUGCUUCACGUCCUAAAACAGCAGCUGCAAAGCACAUGGGCUACGAUUACGCUGUCUUUGGAUUUGCACCUUACACCCCCUUCUGGCGUGAGAUGCGGAAAAUUGCAACACUUGAACUUCUUUCAAACCGUCGGCUUGAGGCACUCAAGCAUGUUCGGAUUUCUGAAGUUGAUAUGGGCCUAAGGGAUCUAUACGGUUUAUGGGCUAAGAAUGACUCGCGCCCUGUGCUUGUUGAACUUAAGAAGUGGCUAGAGGACAUGACAUUGAAUAUGGUUGUUAGAAUGGUGGCUGGAAAACGUUAUUUUGGUGCUUCUGCCACCUGUGAUGAUAGCGAAGCCAGACAGUGCCAGAAGGCAAUCAAUCAGUUCUUUCAUCUGAUUGGCAUUUUUACAGUUUCAGAUGCACUUCCAUUCUUUUGGUGGUUGGAUUGGCAGGGCCAUGAAAUGGCAAUGAAGAAGACAGCCAAGGAAUUGGAUGCUAUACUUGAGGGCUGGCUGGAGGAGCAUCGCCAAAGAAGAGUUUCUGGUGGGAUCGAGAGUGAGAGUGAGCAGGACUUCAUCGAUGUCAUGCUGUCUCUGCAGGAGGAAGGACACUUGUCACAGUUUCAGCAUAGUGCAGAUAUUAGCAUCAAGUCUACCUGCCUGGUAUGUUCAAUAUUCAGAUUCCGAGUAACGUUAAUUGACAGAUCAAUGUCUGACGAAAAAAAUUGUGACAGUAAUGGUUGGUCGGAGCAUUAAAAAAUACCAAGUAAUGGAAUUCACCAAAUGUUACGUCAGACAAAGUCUUCUUUUCAGUUAUUCACUUUAUUUCAGGCAUGCCUUCCGAUGUCAUGACUUGCUGAAUUAUGUUCUUGAGACAAAAUAAGAUCUUCUUAUAUGAGUCAUCAAAUUUAAUGUUGAUGCUUUAUUUAUAAGUUUGUGAAUUAUCAUUGUAGUCAUCUGCUGAACUUUUGUGCAGGCACUCAUCCUUGGUGGUAGUGAUACUACGUCAGGUACCUUGACAUGGGCCAUCUCUUUACUUCUGAACAACCCCAAUAUGCUGAAGAAGGCACAAGAAGAAUUGGACCAACAAAUUGGCAUGGACCGGCAGGUUGAUGAUUCGGAUAUUAAAAACCUUGUGUAUCUCCAAGCCAUCAUCAAAGAGACCCUCCGCCUAUAUCCUGCUGGUCCUCUCUUAGGACCACGGGAAGCAAUGGAAGAUUGCACGGUCGCUGGCUACCAUAUCCCAGCUGGUACCCGCCUGAUCGUAAAUGUAUGGAAAAUUCAAAGGGAUCCAAGGGUUUGGAAAAAUCCAUCUGCUUUCCAACCAGAGAGAUUUCUCACAAGCCAUACAGAUGUUGAUUUUAGGGGCCAACAAUUUGAACUCAUUCCUUUUGGUUCUGGCCGACGCUCGUGCCCUGGUGCAUCAUUUGCUCUCCAAGUCCUUCACCUGACACUUGCUCGACUCCUUCAUGCAUUUGAAUUAGCAACCCCAUCGGAUCAGCCUGUUGACAUGACAGAGAGUCCUGGCUUAACAAUUCCUAAGGCCACCCCAUUGGAGGUCGUCCUUUCUCCUCGCCUCCCUCCCAACCCCUAUGGAUUUUGACAGUAAAUCGAGGCAGUUUUCAGAUUUUGCUUAUAUAAAGCUGCGGAGUUGGUGAAUUUAAAGGGUGCAAUAAAUUAUAUGUACUUAUUACCAGUGGGGGAUUUAUUUGGAAGCUGUUGGGUUGACAAGUGAAUCUAAGCCAUAUGGUUCAAUAUGUACUGUUGUCUAGUUGUGUACUGUAUUCCGAUGUAGUUCUGCUUCCGAAACUAGCUUUGCUAUAUAAUAACACAGUCUCUGUCAAAAAAAAAAAAAGUCUAACUUAAAAUUUAAAGAGUGACGAUACAACCACUAACUGUUAUAUAAAUUUAUUUUGUAUAAAUUAAUUUAAUAUUAAUUUAUUGGUUGAAUUAAAAUAUAAAAUAAUAAAAAUAAAUAAUAUAGAUGAAAAUAUAUUAAAUCCAACCAAUUUAAUCAUGUCACAUAAAUUUAUACAAAAAAAAAAAAUUAUACAAGAGUUUAUCAUUAUAUUAUUACUCAAAAUUUAAAGCUUGAUGUGCGUGUGUAUUUGGUUGUUUCCUUGCGAGUGCAUUAUUUUUCGUACAUCUUCCACAAUAUUGAAUCAAAUAUAACACAUUGUUGCCACUAGCCAACGAUUACCCUUCCAGGCAUCGAAUUUGGGAGGAGUAAUAAUAGGGCUAUAUUCCCUACGCACAUGAGCGUGUAUACAUACAUACAUACAUACAUAUAUACAUACAUACAUACAUACAUACACACACACACACAUAUCUAUAUAUAUAUAUAUAGAGAGAGAGAGAGAGAGAGUCAUUUUCUAACGCAUCAUCACUUUAUUAAAGUAAGAAUGUAUAUUAAAAUACAAGAUUUCAAUACAUAAAAAACUAUGUUUUUUUAUUUGAUUGUGGCAUCCUUACUUUAUUAAAAUAAGAAUGUUCUCACUAGAGAAUUAUUAUUUGUAUAAAUUAUUUUUUGUGCAAACUGAUAUGACAUAAUAUCAUUAGUUGAGUGAAAAUAUAAAAUAAUAAAGAUAAAUUAUAUGGGCUAUGUGGUGGUUUCAUUCAACCAACCUUGCUACGCAUAUUAGUUUGUACAAAAAUGAUAUGUACAAGAAUUUGUAUAUUUAUUAAUUAUUGUUAUGCAAAUUUUAAUGUAUUUGCAAGCGCACAAGUCUAUUGAAGUAUAAGUUAGGAAUAACGAGGUUGAACUCAAAUAAAUUGUCAAAUUUUAAGAAAGCCAACUAUGAUCUAAGUAAAUUAUGAUCUACCCUAAUUGAAAAGAAAAUAUUUGUUUGAUAAAAUCUAAAUUGAAGAUGCAAGAGAAUUAAAGGCGAGAAAAUUAACAUGUGAAUUCAAGAGAUUGAAUCUAUCAGGGUUUCAGAAUUUAUCACUAUUCAACUUAACAAUAGUCUAAUUAUCAAUCAAUUCUCAAUUUUAGAGUGACAAUUCAAAACUAAUCUCUAUCUACUCAUAGAUAUAACAAUUAAGUUAGUUAAAAUUAAUUUUAUAUAGGUCGUUUCUGUACUUAAUAUUGUGAUAUCUAAGCAUUUUAUGUAAAAAAAUAUUAAAUAAUAAAAAGUCAAAAUUUUCCUAAACAAUGUUAAAUAAAUAAUUUCAUGAAAGACAAUGAAUGAAAAAAAAAUCAUAUAUAAACUUUAUAGACCCAAACAUAAGUUUAGUCAAAUAUUAACCUUAACAAUCAAUAAUACAUGGCAAAAUUUGUCAAAAGAUUUAGUAAUAAAUGACCAAAUAUAUGAAAUAAAAUCUAAAAUAUUAAAGCAUACGUGUAGGGAAUCAAUUGAAUAAAAAGUAAAUUAAUUAAAACAAAAAUCAUCGGAAUGCAAUCCGAGUGUAACCCCAUCUGAUUAAGUUAGGAUCAUAUUCGGAUUGAAUGAAUAUUUUAGAUUAAUUUAGUUUAAGAUCGGAUCGGAUUAAAUUCGGAUGCCAAAAAUCAGCUAAAGUUAGGGGCAACAUCGAUGUGGUUGCCAAUUGCCAAAAAAGGCAAGAUUGUCAAGCCAAACUGUGGGCAGAAGCAGAAUUAUAAGAGCAAUAAUGACAACAAAGCAUUGAUUUCCACCAGGGGUCAAUCCAUCAAGUGCAAUUGCCAUGUUUGGAAAAAGAUUCUCCCGUUUAUCUCCUUCCAAGAUCAAGAAUCAAUCAGUAGAGAUCUAUGUUCACGAGAACUGAAACAAUUAGUCUCCCCUUCUUCCCACAGGCGCAGUAUUGGCUGGUCCGUGGGUUGAUGCGAGUUUGUGGGUACCAACUAGGUUUGUGGUUGCGGGUUCGGGAAUCUGCCCAGUGAUGUCGGUGAUGUCGAUGAGGCUGGUUCGGCUCGUGGCUGCCGGCUAGUUCGUGGAUCGUGAGUUUGGACGGUUUCGUGAACUUAUGUCCCAAGUCAAGAUGACAAGUUUUUUGUUCAAUCGUUAAUAUAGUUUAUAUUUUAGUUUUGAUUUCUUCUUCAAUUUUUUGUUUGCCUGGGUUUUUGAACUUCGCGAGAUGUCGCUGAGUUUGAGAAUAUGGAAUUUUGAUUUUGAUUUUCUAAUUUGCUUUUGUAUUUUAGAUUUUUUUUUUUGUUAUUUUUAAGCGUAAUCCAAUUGGAUUAUCCAAAUCAACCCGAAUUCUAUUCGAUCCUUAAAAAUCCGAUUGGAUUACACAAAUAUUAUCCGUUUAGAUACUGAGUAAAUACCCGAAUCCGAUCCUAUACCAAUCCUAUUUUUGUGCAUGCCUCAAUUAAUCAAUCGGCUUGUUCAAUAAAAAUAUAUUAAUUACGAUUAAAUAAUAGUACUAACAAUUAUAGGAUUAGAAAUAGAGGACAACUGUGGAGAUAAAAUUAUGCCCAUC
rnacentral:lncRNA from 1 species